AAAACCCCGUGGCAAGAGCAAGCGUGAGGAGCUACGGGGCAGAGCUACUCCUGUGUCGCAUCCAUCUGUAGGCUGGUUUGAGAGGGGCUGAUGUGUUCGCGGGCCAGCUGUGCCACCUCAGGGUCUCACUGCACCCCUCCAGUGACUCAUACUCCUUUGAUGCUCUCCAAAAAGUGUUACGAAUUUCACGUACCUUCCACAGGAAAAUGCAAUUCCUCAGGAUUACGAGCCUGGGGUAUGAGCUACUGCCUCCUGGACAGUGGGCGGCUUCCUGGUCACUCUCAGGCCGUGCAGCCCCGGAUCCCAGGCUCGCCUCUGAGACACACAAGCUCUCUGAUCUCCGCCGUAGUAAUUGUAAAGCAUAGCUUCCAAUUCAGGCUGAAUCCCCAGAUGUGAAGAAAAGAUUCCUCCCCAGCCAAUGCUAGCCUUACUGGCUAAACAAUGCAUUUGUCUGAGGCAAGCCUUCCCUGCUCCGGAUUCUAAGUUCACAUCGCUGACAUUCUCAGAAGCAGCACUCCCAGUGCAGAGCUGGGAGCACAGAUGGGGCCACCUGCCCUUGUUUUCAGCAGAGCAGCAUCAUUCCUGGACCCCACCCUCAGCCCUGCAGUCACCACCGUUCCAUCUUUCCCAUGCCUGCCGGGCAGAACCCCAGCCCUGCACCCCCUUCCAGGCUGCUGGGCGCUUCUGGAAAUGCCCAACAACUCCUAAAAGACUGGCCGUUGGACACAGCUGUGCAGCAACGCCCCGUUCACUGCCCUGCCCCGGGGUGGCGGGUACGCGAGGGGCAGACGGCAGGGGCAGUGAAAGGCUCAGACUCCCCAGAGCGUGAAGCCAGGGAAGCCCUCAGGUGGAGGAGAGUGACUGUGGUGGCUGGUCGUUCCUUGGUUGGCCGCUGCCCCCACAGGGAUGGUUCUGCCCCUGCCGGGGCCUCUGGGGAGCCUGCACCAGGCUUUCUGAAGAGGGCUUGGAUCUCCCUUUGAAAAUGCCCUCCUCCUACGCUCCCGCCGACUCUCUGUUUCAGAGUCAGAAGCUUCCAGCUGCACACAAUGUCACAACGUAACAAAGUAACAACGUAACAAAGUAACAGUGUCACAUAA